AAACGUAGGAGGCUAGCGUUAUCCGGAUUUAUUGGGCGUAAAGCGCGUGCAGGCGGUUUAUCAAGUUGGAUGUGAAAGCUCCUGGCUUAACUGGGAGAGGUCGUUCAAAACUGAUAGACUAGAGAAUGGUAGAGGGAGGUGGAAUUCCGGGUGUAGUGGUGAAAUGCGUAGAUAUCCGGAGGAACACCAGUGGCGAAAGCGGCCUCCUGGGCCAUUUCUGACGCUAAGACGCGAAAGCUAGGGUAGCAAACGGGAUUAGAGACCCCGGUAGUCCUAGCCGUAAACGAUGUGGACUUGGCGUUGGCGGAGUUAAAUCUGCCAGUGCCGUAGCUAACGCGAUAAGUCCACCGCCUGGGGACUACGACCGCAAGGUUAAA
rnacentral:rRNA from 1 species